GAUGAACGCUAGCGGCAGGCCUAACACAUGCAAGUCGAGGGAUAAGCCUUCGGGCUAAGCCCGGCGCACGGGUGCGUAACGCGUAUACAAUCUGCCUUUUAUCCGGGGGAUAGCCCGAAGAAAUUUGGAUUAAUACCCUAUGGUAUAAGAGCACGGCAUCGUGCACUUAUUAAAGCUACGGCGGUAAAAGAUGAGUAUGCGUUCUAUUAGCUAGUUGGAGAGGUAACGGCUCCCCAAGGCGACGAUAGAUAGGGGUUCUGAGAGGGAUGUCCCCCACACUGGUACUGAGAUACGGACCAGACUCCUACGGGAGGCAGCAGUGAGGAAUAUUGGACAAUGGUCGGAAGACUGAUCCAGCCAUGCCGCGUGCAGGAUGACGGCCUUAUGGGUGGUAAACUGCUUUUGUAAGGGAAGAAUAAGGAGUACGUGUACUUUGAUGACGGUACCUGACGAAUAAGCAUCGGCUAACUCCGUG
rnacentral:rRNA from 1 species